GUUUAUUUGAAGUUAUAAAUAAUUUGGCCUGCCCCCUGAUAUUAAAGGGCCGCAGUAUUAUAACUGUGCAAAGGUAGCAUAAUCAUUAGGUUUUUAAUUGGAAUCUUGUAUGAAUGGUCGGACAAGAGAAAAACUCUCUUUAUAUUAGAUUUUAAAUUUAACUUUUAAGUGAAAAGGCUUAAAUAUAUUAAAGGGACGAUAAGACCCUAUAAAACUUUACAUUGUAGUUAUAUUUGAUUGAAUUUUAAAAGUUUAAUUUAAUUAUUUGUUAUGUUGGGGAGACAUAUGUAAAAAACUGCUUAAAUAAUAAUACAAUUAUUAUUGAAUAAAAGAUCCUUUAUAAAGAUUAAUAGAUUAAGUUACUUUAGGGAUAACAGCGUAAUUUCUUUUAAGAGUUCUUAUCGAAAAAGAGGAUUGCGACCUCGAUGUUGAAUUAAAAUAUCUAUAUAAUGGAGAAGUUAUAUAAGAAGGUCUGUUCGACCUUUAAAAUUUUACAUGAUUUGAGUUCAAACCGGUGUGAG
rnacentral:rRNA from 1 species